GCUGGCGGCGUGCCUAAUACAUGCAAGUCGAGCGAACGGACGAGAAGCUUGCUUCUCUGAUGUUAGCGGCGGACGGGUGAGUAACACGUGGAUAACCUACCUAUAAGACUGGGAUAACUUCGGGAAACCGGAGCUAAUACCGGAUAAUAUUUUGAACCGCAUGGUUCAAAAGUGAAAGACGGUCUUGCUGUCACUUAUAGAUGGAUCCGCGCUGCAUUAGCUAGUUGGUAAGGUAACGGCUUACCAAGGCAACGAUGCAUAGCCGACCUGAGAGGGUGAUCGGCCACACUGGAACUGAGACACGGUCCAGACUCCUACGGGAGGCAGCAGUAGGGAAUCUUCCGCAAUGGGCGAAAGCCUGACGGAGCAACGCCGCGUGAGUGAUGAAGGUCUUCGGAUCGUAAAACUCUGUUAUUAGGGAAGAACAUAUGUGUAAGUAACUGUGCACAUCUUGACGGUACCUAAUCAGAAAGCCACGGCUAACUACGUGCCAGCAGCCGCGGUAAUACGUAGGUGGCAAGCGUUAUCCGGAAUUAUUGGGCGUAAAGCGCGCGUAGGCGGUUUUUUAAGUCUGAUGUGAAAGCCCACGGCUCAACCGUGGAGGGUCAUUGGAAACUGGAAAACUUGAGUGCAGAAGAGGAAAGUGGAAUUCCAUGUGUAGCGGUGAAAUGCGCAGAGAUAUGGAGGAACACCAGUGGCGAAGGCGACUUUCUGGUCUGUAACUGACGCUGAUGUGCGAAAGCGUGGGGAUCAAACAGGAUUAGAUACCCUGGUAGUCCACGCCGUAAACGAUGAGUGCUAAGUGUUAGGGGGUUUCCGCCCCUUAGUGCUGCAGCUAACGCAUUAAGCACUCCGCCUGGGGAGUACGACCGCAAGGUUGAAACUCAAAGGAAUUGACGGGGACCCGCACAAGCGGUGGAGCAUGUGGUUUAAUUCGAAGCAACGCGAAGAACCUUACCAAAUCUUGACAUCCUUUGACAACUCUAGAGAUAGAGCCUUCCCCUUCGGGGGACAAAGUGACAGGUGGUGCAUGGUUGUCGUCAGCUCGUGUCGUGAGAUGUUGGGUUAAGUCCCGCAACGAGCGCAACCCUUAAGCUUAGUUGCCAUCAUUAAGUUGGGCACUCUAAGUUGACUGCCGGUGACAAACCGGAGGAAGGUGGGGAUGACGUCAAAUCAUCAUGCCCCUUAUGAUUUGGGCUACACACGUGCUACAAUGGACAAUACAAAGGGCAGCGAAACCGCGAGGUCAAGCAAAUCCCAUAAAGUUGUUCUCAGUUCGGAUUGUAGUCUGCAACUCGACUACAUGAAGCUGGAAUCGCUAGUAAUCGUAGAUCAGCAUGCUACGGUGAAUACGUUCCCGGGUCUUGUACACACCGCCCGUCACACCACGAGAGUUUGUAACACCCGAAGCCGGUGGAGUAACCUUUUAGGAGCUAGCCGUCGAAGGUGGGACAAAUGAUUGGGGUGAAGUCGUAACAAGGUAGCCGUAUCGGAAGGUGCGGCUGGAUCACCUCCUUU
rnacentral:rRNA from 1 species